AUCCCUUAAAAUUAUUUCCCCUUUUUUAGACGAUAUCUGUAGCGAAUUCCCUCAUCAUUAUCCCUUAAAAUUAUUUCCCUUUUUUUAGAUGAUAUCUGUAGCGAAUUCCACUCAACUAUAUCUCUAAAACAUUCCUGCAAUUUCUCCGCUUCCUAAUCAUAGAGUCCUGUUGCACGACAUCUACUUUCUCCGGCCGAAGAUUCAAGUCUGACGUUACCGGUGAUAACUUCGUCUCUUUGUUCGCCACUUCCUCCCCCGUGUAAAAACACUGAUGCAUUGACUUUUUUGUUAUGGAGCCAAAAAUUAGACUUUCUUUCCCGACUAUGGACGAUUCUGCUUUAAGAGCUAACGAGAAAAGAUAGUCCCUUUUAGCUGUAUGAGAUUCUCCCUUUUGAGUUUCCAAACAUUCUUUGACCCCAUGUCCUAUCCUUCCACAACCAAAGCAAAAAGUUGGGAGAUUUUCGUAUUUGAAAGAUACUCCGUAAUUGCGCACGCAGACUAUCUGAGUUGUAUGAUUUUCUCGUCCAAACAGUACAAAGCAGCGUCAGAUUUUCACUUGGAGUAACUAAAGAACUUUUCACUGUUAAUUGAAUUAACUCUUCUUCAAGGAGAUUAAUCUCGUUUCGAUCAUCAAUCUUUCCAGAGUCACCGCUCGUCUUCAUCCCAACUACAGUAUUCACUAUUUCUUCGGGAAACCUAAGAGAGCACUCUUGACUCAAAAAUAUAUUAUUAUAAUAUGAACUUCUGUUUUAACUAGCUUUGAUUAUUUUUAAAUUGUAAUUAACAUGAGGUUAUCUAUUAUUAUUUAAUGACAUGUGGGUAUCUUACAUGUUCUAA